GACGAACGCUGGCGGCGUGCUUAACACAUGCAAGUCGAACGGAAAGGCGCUGCUUUUGUGGGGUGCUCGAGUGGCGAACGGGUGAGUAACACGUGAGUAACCUGCCCUUGACUUUGGGAUAACUUCAGGAAAAUGGGGCGAAUACCGGAGAGGAGAUCCUGCUGCAUGGGGGGGGUUGGAAAGUUUCGGCGGUUGUGGCUGGACUCGCGGCUUAUGAGCUUGUUGGGGGGGUUGUUGCUUACAAGGGCUUUGACGGGUAGCCGGCCUGAGAGGGUGACCGGCCCCAUUGGGACUGCGAGAGGGCGCAGACUCGUACGGGAGGCAACAGUGGGGAGUAUUGCACAGCGGGCGCACGCCUGAUGCAGCAACGCCGCGUGCGGGAUGACGGCCUUCGGGUUGUAAACCGCUUUCGCCUGUGAUGAAGCGUGAGUGACGGUAAUUGGUAAAGAAGCACCGGCUAACUACGUG
rnacentral:rRNA from 1 species